rnacentral:rRNA from 1 species
UACGUAGGGGGCUAGCGUUAUCCGGAUUUACUGGGCGUAAAGGGUGCGUAGGUGGUUUUUCAAGUCAGAGGUUAAAGGCUACGGCUCAACCGUAGUAAGCCUUUGAAACUGGAAAACUUGAGUGCAGGAGAGGAAAGUGGAAUUCCCAGUGUAGCGGUGAAAUGCGUAGAUAUUGGGAGGAACACCAGUAGCGAAGGCGGCUUUCUGGACUGUAACUGACACUGAGGCACGAAAGCGUGGGUAGCAAACAGG